rnacentral:rRNA from 1 species
CCUACGGGAGGCAGCAGUGGGGAAUAUUGGACAAUGGGCGAAAGCCUGAUCCAGCAAUUCCGCGUGUGUGAAGAAGGCCUUCGGGUUGUAAAGCACUUUAGGUUGGGAAGAAAAAGCUUCGGUGAAUAUCCGGAGUGUUGACGGUACCAACAGAAUAAGCACCGGCUAACUCUGUGCCAGCAGCCGCGGUAAUACAGAGGGUGCAAGCGUUAAUCGGAUUUACUGGGCGUAAAGCGUGCGCAGGUGGUUUCGUAAGUCGGAUGUGAAAGCCCCGGGCUCAACCUGGGAACUGCGUUCGAUACUGCGAGACUAGAGUUUGGUAGAGGGUGGCGGAAUUCCCGGUGUAGCGGUGAAAUGCGUAGAUAUCGGGAGGAACAUCAAUGGCGAAGGCAGCCACCUGGACCUGAACUGACACUGAGGCACGAAAGCGUGGGUAGCAAACAGGAUUAGAUACCCUGGUAGUCCACGCCGUAAACGAUGAGAACUUGACGUUGGUUCGUUUUACGAAUCGGUGUCGUAGCUAACGCGAUAAGUUCUCCGCCUGGGGGAGGUACGGCCGCGAGUAGAACGUACAANAGAGUAGACGCGNGAGAGNGCGACGACGACGACGAGGGAGAGG